rnacentral:rRNA from 1 species
UACGGGGGGGCAAGCGUUGUUCGGAAUUACUGGGCGUAAAGGGCUCGUAGGUGGCCAACUAAGUCAGACGUGAAAUCCCUCGGCUUAACCGGGGAACUGCGUCUGAUACUGGAUGGCUUGAGUUUGGGAGAGGGACGCGGAAUUCCAGGUGUAGCGGUGAAAUGCGUAGAUAUCUGGAGGAACACCGGUGGCGAAGGCGGCGUCCUGGACCAAUACUGACACUGAUGAGCGAAAGCCAGGGGAGCAAACGGG